rnacentral:rRNA from 1 species
GAUGAACGCUAGCUACAGGCUUAACACAUGCAGGUCGAGGGGAAACGGCAUUAAGUGCUUGCACUUUUUGGACGUCGACCGGCGCACGGGUGAGUAACGCGUAUCCAACCUUCCCAUGACUAAGGGAUAACCUGCCGAAAGGCAGACUAAUACCUUAUGGUCUUCACUGACGGCAUCAGAUGUGAAGUAAAGAUUUAUCGGUUAUGGAUGGGGAUGCGUCUGAUUAGCUUGUUGGCGGGGUAACGGCCCACCAAGGCAACGAUCAGUAGGGGUUCUGAGAGGAAGGUCCCCCACAUUGGAACUGAGACACGGUCCAAACUCCUACGGGAGGCAGCAGUGAGGAAUAUUGGUCAAUGGGCGAGAGCCUGAACCAGCCAAGUAGCGUGCAGGAUGACGGCCCUAUGGGUUGUAAACUGCUUUUGUAUGGGGAUAAAGUCAAUCACGUGUGAUUGUUUGCAGGUACCAUACGAAUAAGGACCGGCUAAUUCCGUG